UCGCCGCCGACGACGUCGCGAGAAGUCCACUGAACCUUAUCAUUUAGAGGAAGGAGAAGUCGUAACAAGGUUUCCGUAGGUGAACCUGCGGAAGGAUCAUUGUCGAUGCCUGCAAAGCAGAACGACCCGCGAACCGUUUCUCAACGCUCGGGAUGCCGGAGGGCGUCGAGCUCCCCGGUAUCCCGACGCUCCGGACGUUGGUGGUGCGAGCCACCCCCAGCGGAGGGAGCAUCGAACACAACCCCGGCGUGCAAAGCGCCAAGGUACUGUAACGGUAGGGCAAGCACCCGUCGCCCCGGACUCCGGCGCGCGAUCGGGUGUCUGUUCGGUGGCAUUAAUCUAACGACUCUCGGCAACGGAUAUCUCGGCUCUCGCAUCGAUGAAGAACGUAGCGAAAUGCGAUACUUGGUGUGAAUUGCAGAAUCCCGUGAACCAUCGAGUCUUUGAACGCAAGUUGCGCCCGAAGCCUCGGCCGAGGGCACGCCUGCCUGGGUGUCACACGUCGCUCUGCCUCCAAAACCUUUCCCCUCGUAACGUCGUGGCGAUGGUUUGGAUGCGGAAGAUGGCCUCCCGUGACCACGAGCCACGGAUGGCCCAAGUUCUUGCUGGGGAAGCGAAGCACCACGGCUUUCGGUGGUCGGUACAGCCCGCGAGGGCGAAGAAGCUCGUGGCAGCCGCGACGGUCCCCGGUAUAAGACCCCAGUCACUAAACCAAUGCGACCUCAGGUCAGGCGGGGCUACCCGCUGAGUUUAAGCAUAUCAAUAAGCGGAGG
rnacentral:rRNA from 1 species